UACGAAGGGGGCUAGCGUUGCUCGGAAUGACUGGGCGUAAAGGGCGCGUAGGCGGAUGGCACAGUCAGAUGUGAAAUUCCCGGGCUUAACCUGGGGGGCUGCAUUUGAUACGUGUGAUCUAGAGUGAGGAAGAGGGUCGUGGAAUUCCCAGUGUAGAGGUGAAAUUCGUAGAUAUUGGGAAGAACACCGGUGGCGAAGGCGGCGACCUGGUCCUGACUGACGCUGAGGCGCGAAAGCGUGGGGGGAGCAAACAGG
rnacentral:rRNA from 1 species